UACGUAGGUGGCAAGCGUUGUCCGGAAUUAUUGGGCGUAAAGCGCGCGCAGGUGGUUCCUUAAGUCUGAUGUGAAAGCCCCCGGCUCAACCGGGGAGGGUCAUUGGAAACUGGGGAACUUGAGUGCAGAAGAGGAUAGUGGAAUUCCAAGUGUAGCGGUGAAAUGCGUAGAGAUUUGGAGGAACACCAGUGGCGAAGGCGACUAUCUGGUCUGUAACUGACACUGAGGCGCGAAAGCGUGGGGAGCGAACAGG
rnacentral:rRNA from 1 species